rnacentral:rRNA from 1 species
AUUGAACGCUGGCGGCAUGCCUUACACAUGCAAGUCGAACGGUAACGCGGGGCAACCUGGCGACGAGUGGCGAACGGGUGAGUAAUGCAUCGGAACGUGCCCAGUAGUGGGGGAUAGCCCGGCGAAAGCCGGAUUAAUACCGCAUACGACCUACGGGUGAAAGGGGGGGAUCGCAAGACCUCUCGCUAUUGGAGCGGCCGAUGUCAGAUUAGGUAGUUGGUGGGGUAAAAGCCUACCAAGCCGACGAUCUGUAGCUGGUCUGAGAGGACGACCAGCCACACUGGGACUGAGACACGGCCCAGACUCCUACGGGAGGCAGCAGUGGGGAAUUUUGGACAAUGGGGGAAACCCUGAUCCAGCCAUGCCGCGUGCGGGAAGAAGGCCUUCGGGUUGUAAACCGCUUUUGUCAGGGAAGAAACGCUCUGGGCUAAUACCUUGGAGUAAUGACGGUACCUGAAGAAUAAGCACCGGCUAACUACGUGCCAGUCGCCGCAGUAA